UGGGGAAUAUUGCGCAAUGGACGAAAGUCUGACGCAGCAACGCCGCGUGGGUGAAGAAGGCCUUAGGGUCGUAAAGCCCUGUCAGAUGGGAAGAAACCUGCCCUUGAGGUAGCUGACGGUACCAUCAAAGGAAGCACCGGCUAACUCUGUGCCAGCAGCCGCGGUAAUACAGAGGGUGCAAGCGUUGUUCGGAAUCACUGGGCGUAAAGGGCGCGUAGGCGGCUUUACAAGUCUGGCGUGAAAGCCCGGGGCUCAACCCCGGAAGUGCGUUGGAAACUGUAGAGCUUGAGUUCGGAAGAGGAGGGCAGAAUUCCUGGUGUAGGGGUGAAAUCCGUAGAUAUCAGGAGGAAAACCAGUGGCGAAAGCGGCCCUCUGGAACGAAACUGACGCUGAGGCGCGAAAGCGUGGGGAGCAAACAGG
rnacentral:rRNA from 1 species